CCAAAGGCUGUUGUAACAGCCAUUACACAAAGAUAAAACCUAUUCU
rfam:Erinaceus europaeus unplaced genomic scaffold scaffold00105, whole genome shotgun sequence